CUCCACAGUGCGCGGCCGUGCUUUCAGAGGCAUUGGAAUACCAAAAUUUACGGGAAAUCUUGUAGCAGAGGACUGAUUCUAGGCACCGCAAACUGCACGAGGUUGUUCAUUCGCCUCUUUUUCAUCUGUGCCGUCUGGGGUUUCAAGCACACCACACAUCCUCGCUUCCACCUCCCCUUUCACUUCCCUUCGCCCUCCCCUGCGAAACCGUUGCAGCCGUGUGCUGUCUCCUCGCGUCCAAUAGCUCGAAUUUGCGCUAACAUACAUGUCGUGACAUCGCUGUGCUGCAUGCAUGCAACGUGAGAGCGAGGAGCCGCGGAUGGGAUGAGGAUUGGCAAGAAAAUAACGGCGCAUUGAAUACCAUAUUACAAUUGUAUCCUGGCUUGUCUUGUGUGCAUUCGAAUUGCGAGAUAGGAGAGGAUCUGAAUGAUUUAGAGGACGGAAGAGUUCUUCAAGCUGGAAUAUGGUGAGAACAUCUUCAAACUUGUCCGUCUAGAUUCUUAGUUCGUUUUGAGGAUUGAGCUUUUUCUCUCACAGUUGCAAUCUGUGUGUGUUCUAUAUCUUGGAAGACUCAAUGUUGUCAACAGAAGAUCUGACCUGGAGCUCUUCCACUGCAACUUUAGUCGCGGGUCACAUCUACGUUAUCAUCAAUCGUGAAUGAGCUGGUGUUCAUUUACAUGUAUUAUAUGACCACAUAUUUCAACAUAUUUCAACGCUGUAGGAAACAAAUUAAACCCUCGUUAAAAUCUUCUUGAGUUGCAUGUAUUUUUCAUCAUCGGAGAUGCGCAAGGGAAGGUCGUAAACUGAAAUGUAGUAUGCAUUUGAAAAUGUUCCUUGUGUAGAAUCCAGUUGUUGUCCUCUCUCUGGUUAGUUUUCUUUUUGUCUUGUUGUUUUGAGCUCCGCAACCUCUGGCGCAUUGUGGUUGGACGGUUCCAGGCGCUCGUUCCUACCAUCAUCGACGAGGGUAGCAGUUGACCUCCUCUUGUUGAAGUUGUUCUUUUCAGCUUUUAUUUUUGUCCUCCCUAGCUCGCAGUGGUGUGGUGAAGUGAUUAAAUGCGGCGUUGAUAUCCCUUCCGGCGUCGGCUGUGCUGGAGUUGUGUUCUAAGUCCACGUCAAGGCCUUCCUUGACGUUGCGAUCUGCGACGCGUGCGCGGUGCCGGAUUUUUAGCACGAGGAAGUACACGUGAGCUGGAAUAAUCCGUGGAUCAGUGAACGAGGCAAUUCAAACUGGUAACAGAGUAGAAUUGUUCGCGGCGUUGGUCUUUAUUUUCUCCCACGUGGUUGCUGUUCUUCUAUUUUACUCUUUGGCUGAAGGACAACUCGUCGUUGGAUUCUUUGCUGACUGUCCGCUCCUAUCUCCUAGAGCUGCUGUUAAGCAUUGUUGAGGAUUGUUGUUUAUGUCCCUUUCACUUCACGGGCGAAACUGUUGCUGCAUGUCAUUACCGAAUCCGACGACCUGCCGUGUUCCGUUACUCCCUUGAGCAUUGAACUCCAAACUUUUAACAUUGUUAUGGUCCGUAGAGGGCAUUUAAUUUUUUUGGAUUAUGAUAUAAAAUGAGUAAUUUUAACAUCGAAGUUGUUUUAUUUAAAUUUGUAAAGAAAUCAAGUGUUGGUUUUAGGGUUAUUUGAGAUUGUUGGUUUUGGUUUAGAAUUACAGAUUCAAUCUUAAUGAUGGAAGAUUGUAUGGUUUGUGGGACAAUCUAAAAAAUAAAGUGUUUGAAAAAUAUUUUUGAAAUACUAAA